rnacentral:lncRNA from 1 species
GUAAAGAUCACCGUACACAUAUGGCUGCAAUAACCCCACAUCAUGUAUUCAGUUUCAAACUAGACAUGUUCAUCAACACUCCUACUAUUAUAUGUUUAUUGACAUCACUCUCAAACCAGAAUUUAUUUUUUACAUAACUACACGACAACACCAACAUUGACACUCAUUCCAUACAAACAAAAAGUGGAAAAUUGAUCAAACACAUCAGAUAAAAAAAAAAGUACUACAAGCUCAUUUCCAUGCUUAAAACUACUAAUUAUAAAACAAUUGGAUUGAGAAGAUGGUGCAAGCACAUUAUCUUCAAUGUUAACUUCUUUCUUCUUAGAUUCCUCUAUUUGUAUAUUCAACUACUUAUUCACAACCACACACACAUAGUAAACACAUCAACUUCGAGCAAAAACGUGACACACACAUAUAAUUAUACAGCGAAAUAGUCACAAGAUGCUAGCAAAUUUGAUGAUUCAUAAAACUGCAAACGCACUAAACACGUCUACUUCAAGCUAAAAUCUCCCUCUCUCUCUCCCUCCCCCCCUCUCUCUCUCUCCCGCUGCCUCUCCCUCCCUCCCUCAGUUUACAACAACAAUUAUAAAAGCACAAUAUCAGUAAACACACAUUGAAAGUCCUCUCUCUCUCCCCCUCUCUCUCCCUCCCUCUAUCUCCCUCUCUCUCUCCCCCUUCUCUCUCACACACAGAGUAAAGUAAUAAUGACAAUCUAUUAGAUGAUUGACAUUUGACAAUUAGAAGAGCAAUAGAGAAUGAAGAGUGCGUGUACACAAGUGUACCAGUAUAGCAUCAUCGAUGUCGUCUCCGGGGAGAGUUUUUACGAUUUUCGACAAGAAUUUUUCAAAUGCGUUUUGGACUACGGUGCGUUUAAACGGGCCGGAUCGAAUUUAUUAAAUAUACAAAUUAUGGGAAAAAAACAUCAAUAAAAGAUUUAUCUGAUUUAUUAUUAGUAAUCAAGCAUCAACAUAAUAUCAAUCAUUAAUCAAUCAUCAAUAUACUUAUAUACUUAUAUAGGGUAGCACUCCAUAGCAUACCAUCUUAUAUGGAGUUACGUAGCACACCAUAAUAAAUAUAUACAUAAUAUAUAUUCUAUUAUAUUUUUUAUGGAAUAUAAUUGCAAAUUUUGAUCAUUAAACCGUAAACGAAGUUAUACAAUUUUUUUAUUCCAAAAAUCAUCUAAAAUUAUACAAUAUCUCAACAUGAUUCUAUAACAGAAAAUAAAUAUAUACAUAAUAUAUAUUCUAUUAUAUUUUUUAUGGAAUAUAAUUGCAAAUUUUGAUCAUUAAACCGUAAACGAAGUUAUACAAUUUUUUUAUUCCAAAAAUCAUCUAAAAUUAUACAAUAUCUCAACAUGAUUCUAUAACAGAAUAAUAAUCAUCCAAAAUUAUUCUGUUGUAGAAUCAGUUUCGAAAAUAUACUUUUUCAUCAAAUUUUAAGUGUUAAAUGACUUGAAAUAGAUAUAUGUUAUGGUAUUCUAUAUUAGAAUCACGUUCUAUAUGUAUUCAAUAAUAGAAUUUAUAAUAAAAUUGAUGAUUUAGAAUGGCGCACUAUGUAACUCCCUGGAAUGUUGGCCAGUAUACUUAUACAAAAGAGAAACGAAAGGCGUUUAGGUGGCGCCUAACUCUAUUCUAUUUUCCAGCAAUUUUAAAAUAUAAAUUUCAGUAUUAGAAGAAAAUUUAAAAAUUACCUUUUCCAGUCUCGAAAUUAUUGGAAGAAGAAAGUUCCAAAAUUACCUUUUUUAGUAUUGGACAUAAGAGUGCGUGCAGAAAGCAAUUAAGACAAACUUUUUUAGUUCGAAUUUAGCCAAUUUUCCUGUAGUGAACACCGCCCAUUAAGAAUAGGCGAUGAGAAAUUCUCUAGGUUUAAAAUCAUUGAUCGAUUAAACUUUUUUACAUGGAUCUAUUCUGACUACUUCAAAACUAACGAUUACCAAAGCGCGGACAAAUUUGGAAGGAAAAUACACAAUGCAAACUAGCUAAAAACAAAAGAAUUAGGGAAAAUAGAUUUUUUUGCCACUCAACUUAUUGUGUUUUUAGAAACUUGCCACCCAACUAAAUUUUUUUUCCUUUUACUCAUUAAUGUUAUGUUUGAAUUUUUUUAGCCACCAACUUAGGUUCGGAUUUGAUUACUAGCAUUAUGACAAUUUUUUGUAGCAUCACUUAUACAUAGUGAUAGUAUGUAAUAUUUUGAUGAUGUGUCGUAUGUUUAUAUCUUUAUAUAUAGCAAUGAUAAUAUGAAAUGAGCCGAUGAAAAAUUAAAAUCAGGAAAAAUCGUAAUUAGAAUUCUAAAAAUUCAAUAAAUCAUGAAUAUGAAACCAACGACUUCAAACAAUUCCCCCUCCAUGAUAAGAUAAAUUUAGUUAUAGAAAUCACCAGUUUCUAGUUUUUAGUCUGUGAGUUGUUUCUAUUAGAGCAACCCAUUUUAACCGGUUAUAUAUCUAUAUAUAUAUAUAUAUAUAUAUAUAUAUAUAUAUAUAUAUGUAUAUAUGCCAACAUUCCAGAGAGGGACUCCUUAUAUGGAGUUACAUAGUGCGCCACUAUAAAUCAUCAAUUUUAUUAUAAUUUCUGUUAUAAAAUACAUAUAAAACGUGAUUCUAAUAUAGAAUACUAUAAAAUAAAUCUAUUUUAAGUAAUUUAACACUUAAAAUUUGAUUAAAAAAAGUAUAUUUUUGAAACUGAUUCUACAACAGAAUAAUUCUGGAUGAUUAUUAUUCUGUUAUAGAAUCAUGUUGAGAUAUUGCAUAAUUUUAGAUGAUCUUUGGAAUAAAAAAAUUGUAUAACUUCGUUUUCGGUUUAAUAAUCAAAAUUUGCAAUUAUAUUUCAUAAAAAAUAUAAUAGAAUAUAUAUUAUGUAUAUAUUUAUAAUGGUGUGCUACGUAACUCCAUAUAAGAGGGUAUGCUAUGGAGUGCUACCCUAUAUAUAUAUAUAUAUGUAUAUGUAUGUAUGUUAUAUUAUAUAGAACCUUUGAUUUUGCUUAGCCGGUUAAAAUGGGUUACCUCAAUUAUAAGUACUAGCUUUAAACUCGUAUAAUGCAUGAAUAUUUAAUAUUUUUAUAAUUCUUAUUAUCUUAUAGUAUAUUUUAACCCAGAAAAUCACAUAUGAUAUCCCUUUUCCAUAUAGUAUUUUUUUUUAAAAUAAUAUUUAAUUAUUUUUAUUUGUCAAUCAUAAGAUUGGGCUUUUUAUAAUUAAUAUAUAACUUUGGUCUGUUUGUGUUUGAGCUAAUUUUCUGAUAGAUUAGGCUCUGGUGAUCUAUUUGUUGCGUUUGUUUCUCAAAUUUAAUUUCAUUAAUAAUUUAGUUCUUUUAUAACUUGUUUAUGUGAUUUGUCAGAAUAUUAAAUGAUUUGUUUUAACAUCAAAAAUUUCUUACGUUGAAGAGUAUUAGGCUUCUGGUUUUAGUACAACUUUAAACUAUAUAUAUACAAUUAUAUGAUUGCUAAGAGUCGAUCACGCAUCCUGACCGUGAUAUAACAUGGAUCGGUUCGGUGCGAUUUUUAGAUAAAAGCGCAUCCAGAACCGAAAACCUCGAUUUUUAAAAUCAAGAACCUCAACCACAACCAAAACCACGAUUCGGUUUCAUAAUCUCUAUUUGGUUACAGUUAAAAAACCGCAUUAACUAAAAAUGAGAAAUUUAUUAUAAAUCAAAUAAAUAAAACUUAAUUUACAAAAUAUAUAUUUAAACAUAACAGCAUCUCUUCAGUGUUUAAUAAUUAAGGUUUUAUGAUACUUGAUCAAAGCAAAUUUCAAUAACCUAACAACAUUACUUUCUAAGUUUCUAUCACUUAUAUUUUGCAAUGCACAUGUGGACUUCUAUGUUUUAAAGUUUAUUAUGUUAAACUAACUCACACAUAAUAGCUAUUAAUUUGGUACUUCGAAGUUUGAAUCGUGAGAAGGGAGGCUAUGGAUUAGACGGGCCUCCGGUCCAGAAUUGGCUAAUAUUCAUCACUCUUGAACCUAAAAAAUAUGUGUAUACAUUAAUUUCAAAAGCUUUAAUAUAAAUUAUAUUUAGAAUUAUUUGGUUUUUUUAAAAAAAUCGGUUCGAAUCGGUUUUCUUCGGUUCGAAUUUAGGCUAUAACCUAAAGCACAACCAUUAGACUCAAUUCGGUUUUUCAAUUUUCGAUUUCUUUUCAAUUUUAUAGGGUUCGAUUUUUAUGAGAUUUUACCAAUUUCAAUUGCAUUUUUUUGCUCACCACCGGCUACGAUAGCAUUCUUCCGUUAUCCCUCUUACGCUUAUGUACAUAAGGAUAUAGUUACCCACCUUUGAUUGUGGAAAUGAACCAUCAAUACUAUUUUAUGAUUUAUAUAGAACAAAAAUUAUGUCAUUGUAAUGUAUAAGAUUAUUUACUAUUUCAGAUAUAAAAUAUAAAUUUAAUUAUUGUAUAUUUUUUAAAUUAUUUAAUAAUUUGCUUAAAAUUAAAAUUGAUAGACGGUUAAUCAAAUUAUAAAAAAAACCCAUUUAGAACGAUCUCAUCAUGAUUAUAAGAUAGAAAUCAAAUCGAAUCAUAAUGAUAUAUACGAUUCAAUAACGAUAUUAGGUAGAAAUCAAGGUAAACCCACCAGCGCAUUCCGAUAUAUCAUACGGGCUUACGUUUCCAUUUAUAAAUAUUUUAAACAAACUUUUGGCCCACAUACAUAAAACAUACCCCUUAAAAUGAUAGUAUUUAGAGAUACAUUAUAGGAGCGUUUGAAACAACUCUUUCCUUAUAUCAAACCACGGGCCCAAUGUUACUCACUACCUAUAUCGAACCUCAUGCCCAAUGUUACUACCUAAAUCUGUCGGUAGGAUACAUUAGUGGAUUAGGAUCACAAUAAAUAGAUAUCUGUGUAGAUAUGAUAUUAUAUGAUAUCUUGUGGUUGUUGCAAAAUCCAAAUUUAAAUCUUGCAAUUUAAUGCUACUAUCUACACUUCUCUUUUCUUUUUUUUUAAACUGGCCUAAUUGCAAAAUUAUAUUUCACAAGUCUGUGCGCUUAACAAGCGACUGAGCAAAAGGGUUUUUUCUAGAGCUUAGGGUUUACAAUUCUCAAGUAGAGGGACAAUGGAGGGAAGUAGCUACCAGCCUUUUCAGAGAAUCUUGAGGUUUGGGACGAUAAAUUUUAGUGAUUAUAAAGAUCUUGAAGUGCCAAGUUUCCAAAAUGCCGAUGCUUUGAGUCAAGAGGUUCACAAUUUAGCUCCGAAAGAUUCGGUGAAUGGAAAUGAGAAUGUCAAGGUAGGUCCUGUGGUGUCGAAAGAUGCGAAGCAUAAGAAAGAGAGAUACCCUGUAAGGCCCAAGGUGGAUGAUUGCCUCUAUUUUAUGAAAUAUGGUUGGUGCAAGUUCGGAUUCAAUUGCAGAUAUAACCACCCAUUCAAUCAGUUAAUCCAGGUAUAACUACUUUAACUUGGUUGAUCUUUUAAGUGGUGUGUGUUAAUCUUUAUAUUAGAAUGAAUAAAUUUAAAGUUUAGAUGUGCAACUGAUUCUUUGUUUGAUUGAAUAAUGAAUAAAAUGGGGAUCAGGACUAUACUGAUUCUUAUAAAGUUUUAAAAAAAUGUUUCUCCAUAAAUUUAUUCUUUUUCUUGGUACAUUGGAACAUUCUUGUUGAUUUACUAAAUCCUAGGAUUGUGACUGGUCAUAAGUUUCUCUUAUCUUGAUAGAAAUUUGACAUCUUUAGUCCUGAUUCGUGAAUCGCAUUUUACCCUGUUGAUGAUUAUUCAGUGCGAUUAUUAGAUUGUGGAUCACUUUAUUCUAGCGUUGGUGGUUAAAUUAGAAUUAUUAUAAAAUAGGGAAUAUUGAUUGUAUCCUUUCCUCAGGUCCCGUGAAAAACCUUGUCACUACUUAUAUAUUGCUACAAGUGUAUUCACUUCACACGGAAAAUGAGGCUAUGCCUGUCCUUUAUGACGACAUAAGAGGCCACAAGGCUUAUUCACUUGACAUGUAGCAAGCUACUCUAUGUGAAUUAAACAAGAAUCUGCCAGAUCGAGAUCAUCCUAUUUCUCGUCUAUAGCCAUGAAAGCAUUACUGAGAGAAAUUCUGAAGAAUAAAACUAUCUUUUCUUCUUUUUUUUUUUGCCACAAGAAUAUAACUAUCUUAAAAAACAAGAAUAUUAUAAAAAUACCGUCUUAUACAACAUAACUAAGCUUUUAUCACACUCCCUCUAGUAAUGUCAAAGAAGUGCAAUAGGUAACAGUAAAUAAAGACUUUAAUUACUAACGGUCUUUGAUAUGUGCAUGCUGAAUAAAUCGAUUCAACACCCAAAUCACUAAAUAAUCAGAAUUAAAGGGUCAUCUUUCAUGUUUUAUAUUGAUGAUUUCUUUGUCUGGAGCUUUGGAUAAAAUACUAUCUUCUACAAUAUAACUAAGCAUUUAUAUUAACAAGUAGGUCUUUCUUUAGUAUAUCUAUCACAUUGUUUAUUGAUACAACAUAUGACUAGAAAUUCCUGAUAUUGAUAUUUUUACAUCUCGUAAAUGUUCACAUAUGGGAUAUAUGUAUAUCAAGCUGUUUGCUUUUUUGAGCUUUUUAUAUCUACACGAAUGACUCUUACUCUCUUAACAGACCAAGUUUCAUUCGGAUGAUACCUUAAUACCUUAAUUUGAGUUACUAUGAUAUUUCUCCUUUACUGAAGGUUCCUUUAGAAUACCAUGAUGCUCUUAUAUACACAGCAGCAGAAUGGGGCCAGCCUAUCGCUGCAGAGCUUCAGCUGCCAAUGAAAACUUUAUCAGCAGAUGCCAAGGCCUACCAGCAGAUGCCAAGGCCUAUCAGCAUAUGCCCUCUAAAUGAUAAAGGCCUGCCUUUAAGGCCUGUAAGUGUUUCCCUAAAUACUGUGCUGAAAUAUUAAUUAAUGUCUUUUAACAUUCCCAAAACUACUUAAGCAGAUUAUUUUCUACCAGGUUGUUAUAGGAUGACUGUUUUCUGGUAUGGUGUGUCUAUUAAGGUGACCCGCAUUCAUAUCUGUAUACAAAUAACUUCUUUUUAUUCUUGAUGAUUUAGGAUAUGGAGGUCUGUACAUUCUACAGUCGCUGCGGGGUCUGCAAGAAGGGACCAGCAUGUAGAUUUGACCAUCCAGAAACUCUGGCGGUUCCAGCUGAUGGAUCAGAAGAUUCUGCUGGAUCAGAAGAUUCUGCUGGAUCAGAAGAAGCUGGGGUUCCUGCUGCUGGAUCCCAAGAUGCUCAGGGUCUUCCGGCUCAGUUAUCCCAGCUUCCUGACCCGACCACCGAAGAUGAAGCCUAAUGAAGUCAGUCAUUUAUGCAGCAGACUGACUUUCUGCUUUAAAAUUCUAGUUUAUCUGAACACAUGUCUUAAUAUUUCCGUUUACAUUCUGCUGUUGUCGCAAACUCUUUAAGGGUUUUUUUCACCGUCGGAUAAACAUAUCCCUCCUGUCUCUCAUUUAAUAAUCGUGUAUGCUUGAUUUAGUUUCCAUUUGACGUAUUUUCAAUUUUAUUCUAGUUCUCAAAAAAGUUCCCCAUGUAUAGGUGUUCAGUUGUUAUUGGUCAUUCUCCUAUAAACAAAAGUGGACGCUAUAUGCAUGCACAUAUACUGAGAGAUGGGCCUAAAUGUCAACUUUUUAAGGUGUGUCCUGAAAAUCAAAUCUUAUUUUUACAGUGUUGAGAGGGGGAGAGAUAUUAAGGUGUGUCCUAAAAAUCAAAUUUUACUUCUACAGUGGAGAGAGAGAGAGAGAGAGAGAUCCAAAAUACAUAUGAUUUAAAACGUUAACAUCACCAAACUCAUACCUUCAUCAAGAGAGUCCACUUGAAUUACUUGCGCUUUAAUAAAAUGACUUCUCAAGUUUAGCCUGUAAUCAGCAAACUUGAUCUGAUGGACAACAAAGCCUCUACCAGUUGCUCGAUACUGCAGUUUGUGAGUUACAGUAAAUAUACAAUUUACUCCUAAGAAGUUAAAAUGAUGAAAUAUUCUCGACACAUAUAUGACAGCAACAAAUACGUACUUUUGCUCCUCCGUGCAGAAUGGUACAUCAAUAAUGGGUUCUAGUACCCAGGGAGAAUAUGUGAAAGAAUGAGCAAAGAUGAAGCUGCAUUGUAAUAUAGCUGAAAACAGCCUGCAAAAAACAAAAUAUUUAUAACUGACCCACAAACGUUUACACCAGAGAGCAUGAAUUCGUAAUAUCAAUCUAUAGUGUAAUGACAAACAAGUUGAACCGUGAAUUGUAUUCACAGGCUCAAACCCCUACAAGAAUGUGAUUAUUGGAUUGAAAUUAACAUCAGUACUUGCAUAUGUAACCUUGAGACACCAGAUAAUAUAAAUAUUUAGGAGGAAUAUUUCAGCUUGUCCACAAUUUUACCUGUUCAUAAACUAAAACAACUAGCAAGCAUAAUACAUUCAAAGCCUUCAGAUUGGCAAAUACAUUUAGAAGAGCAACUAAAGUAUUUAUAAAACAGGUUAUUGCUACAGAAAACAUGCUCCUUAGCUUAAACAGAAUAGCUUCACUUGCAACAAAAAAUAACCAACCUAUAAAUCACUGAAUUAGUAAUCAGCACAAAUCUUCACACAGAAUGCUAAUUUGAAUUGUAAGAAUAUAAAGCAAACUUACAUAAUGGACUAUGGUUAACUUCACACUAAUAAUUAUACUGAGAUGAGCACCUAAAGAGAAAUGAUAAAUCAGUUUUUUUUUCAUGACAACGAAUCUUAUUUUUCGAGGCACCAGAAUAAGUAUGAUUAAAAUGAAAGUAUAUACCAAAUAUAAAUUCACAAAAUUAAUUCAUAAAAAAUAGAUACCGAGCAUUCACGAAAUUAAUACAUAAAAAAAUGGAUACAGAAUGAGCACCACUAACUUUAGAGGAUAGGCUAGAACACGUCCCAAUGUCACAAAACUAGUCUCUCGGUUGGACAUAAACCAGGCCAAAGAGUACACACUGCAUUCAGAUAUAAUACACAUACAUACCAACACAGUAAAGAUUAGAGACAUGUCAUUACAAGGAGGCAAGAGGAAAAUUAUACAAGGAUGCCAGACCCUGUCAAAACAUGCUCUCUCACACCAAGAAUGGUUGGAGGGCGAAUGCCAUGAUUUCCUCAAAAGUUCAUCAAGAAGAUUCUUAAUUUCAUAGCCUCUUCAAGGUAAUUGUCCUGUCCAUUGCUUUUCACAAAAAAAAAAAGGCGAUAUAUGAGAAAGACCAUAAAAACAUAUUAAAAAAUUAAAUCAAUUUCAAAUAUAAGUAAUGCACAUAAAACAUAUCCACGAGUAUAGGUUCCAUAGUUCUCACAGAAAAACCAUGUAGACUAAAUUUCCAAAAUAUGUGCCUGCAAUGAAUAUUUAUGUCAACAAAAAAAGAUAAAAACCUACCAUCCAGUGGCCUGACCGAGGACUAGGACAUCCUUUAAAAUUUAGUUGUUCCCAUUUAUUGGUUUUCAAGUCCAACAUCCAGAAGUCCUUCCAAAGAAAAUUUCUUAACUUAAAGCUAAAAUAUAAGUGCAAAAAGAAAGUCACUUCUGUAGUAGGUGGUACACUUUCUACCUUGAAGUGGUUGAAACGCUCUUGAUUGGGAGAGGUAAAUUUACCACCUAUGAACCAACAAACCAGAGUUCUAUAUCAGUCAACAGGAAAGUGCAAAAACCGGCAAGCCAUGAGUCAUAAAUUGUAUAUGUCAAUUAGCCACAGGCAGAUAAAUACAAUGGUAUAGAUGCAUAGCAAAUACAUUAGUAAGCAUGGGGAUACGAAAAUUCAGCAACUCCUAAAAUAUGGAUAUUCGGCAAAUAUUAAAAAUAUGUACUAUGUAUAUAUUUCGAGAGUUACAUUUAUAUUUAAACUAAAGAGUCAAAUAAAUAAGUUCAUCAUCCUUGAUAAUUACAACUGCAGUUAAGUGAUUAACUACUCAACUAAUUACAGAAUUAUUUAUUUAAUAAGAAUCCCCGGGAACCCUAGAAUCCCCAAGAAUCGAGUACGCAAUGCCUGGAUGAGUGAAGAAUCACUGCUUCUUAUCAAAUGUAUAUGACUGUAAAUAGUUGUUUUACCAUAAAUGGAAAGACAUUCUUCCGGGAAACAGCGUGAUAAGCACCGCGAUGUGGUGGACUGUCACGGCUGGAUAUUAAUUUCCACUCAUUCUUGUCAACAUCGUAUCGGUAAAAAUCACCGUACAACACAUAUGGCUGCAAUAACCCCACAUCAUGUAAUCAGUUUCAAUCUAGACAUGUUCAUCAACACUCCUACUAUUAUAUGUAUAUUGACAUCACUCUCAAACCAGAAUUCAUUUUUUGCAUAACUACACGACAACACCAACAUUGACACUCAUUCCAUACAAACAAAAAGUGGAAAAUUGAUCAAACACGUCAGAUAAAAGAAAGUACAAGCUCAAUUCCAAGCUUAAAUCUACUAAUUAUAAAACAAUUGGAUUGAGAAGAUGGUGCAAGCACAUUAUCUUCAACGUUAACUUCUUUCUUCUUAGAUUCCUCUAUUUGUAUAUUCAACUACUUAUUCACAACCACAAACACACAGUAACCACAUCAACUUCAAGCAAAAACGUGACACACACAUAUAAUUUACACAUCGAAAUAGUCACCAGAUGCUAGCAAAUUUGAUGAUUCAUAAAAUUGCACACACAGUAAACACGUCUACUUCAAGCUAAAAUCUCCCUCUCUCUCCCUCUCUCUCUC